rnacentral:rRNA from 1 species
GUGGGGAAUAUUGGACAAUGGGCGGAAGCCUGAUCCAGCAACGCCGCGUGAGGGAUGACGGCCUUCGGGUUGUAAACCUCUUUCAGUACCGACGAAGCGCCGAUGAUGGUGGUGACGGUAGGUACAGAAGAAGCACCGGCCAACUACGUGCCAGCAGCCGCGGUAAUACGUAGGGUGCGAGCGUUGUCCGGAAUUAUUGGGCGUAAAGGGCUCGUAGGCGGUUUGUCGCGUCGGGAGUGAAAACACUGGGCUUAACUCAGUGCUUGCUUCCGAUACGGGCAGACUAGAGGCAUGCAGGGGAGAACGGAAUUCCUGGUGUAGCGGUGAAAUGCGCAGAUAUCAGGAGGAACACCGGUGGCGAAGGCGGUUCUCUGGGCAUGUCCUGACGCUGAGGAGCGAAAGUGUGGGGAGCGAACAGGAUUAGAAACCCUAGUAGUCC